GAUGAACGCUGGCGGCGUGCCUAAUACAUGCAAGUCGAGCGAACAGACGAGGAGCUUGCUCCUCUGACGUUAGCGGCGGACGGGUGAGUAACACGUGGAUAACCUACCUAUAAGACUGGGAUCACUUCGGGAAACCGGAGCUAAUACCGGAUAAUAUAUUGAACCGCAUGGUUCAAUAGUGAAAGACGGUUUUGCUGUCACUUAUAGAUGGAUACGCGCCGCAUUAGCUAGUUGGUAAGGUAACGGCUUACCAAGGCGACGAUGCGUAGCCGACCUGAGAGGGUGAUAGGCCACACGGGAACUGAGACACGGUCCAGACUCCUACGGGAGGCAGCAGUAGGGAAUCUUCCGCAAUGGGCGAAAGCCUGACAGAGCAACGCCGCGUGAGUGAUGAAGGUCUUCGGAUCGUAAAACUCUGUUAUUAGGGAAGAACAAAUGUGUAAGUAACUAUGCACGUCUUGACGGUACCUAAUCAGAAAGCCACGGCUAACUACGUG
rnacentral:rRNA from 1 species